CCAGCCCUGCGGGGCGGGCAGCAUGGUUCACUCCAGCAUGGGGGCUCCAGAAAUAAGAAUGUCUAAGCCCCUGGAGGCCGAGAAGCAAGGUCUGGACUCCCCAUCAGAGCACACAGACACUGAAAGAAAUGGACCAGACACUAACCAUCAGAACCCCCAGAAUAAGACCUCCCCGUUCUCCGUGUCCCCAACUGGCCCCAGCACCAAG